UACGUAGGGGGCAAGCGUUGUCCGGAUUUAUUGGGCGUAAAGAGCUCGUAGGCGGUUUGGUAAGUCUGGUGUGAAAUCUCCACGCUCAACGUGGAGGGGCCACCCGAUACUGCCAUGACUGGAGUCCGGUAGAGGAGUGUGGAAUUCCCGGUGUAGCGGUGAAAUGCGCAGAUAUCGGGAGGAACACCCGUAGCGAAGGCGGCACUCUGGGCCGGUACUGACGCUGAGGAGCGAAAGCGUGGGAGCAAACAGG
rnacentral:rRNA from 1 species